rnacentral:sRNA from 1 species
ACUGGGUGUGGUGGUGCAUGCCUGUAAUCCUAGGACUUGGGAGGUGGAGGCAGGAGAAUCACAAGUUCAAGGCCAAUCUUAGCAUCUUAUGAGACCCUCAACUACUUAGUGAUACUCCCUCCC